AACUUUCAACAACGGAUCUCUUGGUUCUGGCAUCGAUGAAGAACGCAGCGAAAUGCGAUAAGUAAUGUGAAUUGCAGAAUUCAGUGAAUCAUCGAAUCUUUGAACGCACAUUGCGCCCGUCAGUAUUCUGGCGGGCAUGCCUGUUCGAGCGUCAUUACGCCCCUCAA
rnacentral:rRNA from 2 species